UUCCAAAAAUUGUUUCAAAAA
rnacentral:piRNA from 1 species